GACGAACGCUGGCGGCGUGCUUAACACAUGCAAGUCGAACGAUGAAGAAGAGACACGCGCACUUCGGUUCAAAUUUCACUUCGGAUUAGUGGCAGACGGGUGAGUAACGCGUGAGCAACCUACCUCUUACAAAGGGAUAGCCUCGGGAAACCGUGAUUAAUACCAUAUGACACAUUCAUAAGGCAUCUUAAGAAUGUUAAAGCUACGGCGGUAAGAGAUGGGCUCGCGUCCCAUUAGCUAGUUGGUGAGGUAACGGCCCACCAAGGCGACGAUGGGUAACCGGCCUGAGAGGGUGAACGGUCACAUUGGAACUGAGACACGGUCCAAACUCCUACGGGAGGCAGCAGUGGGGAAUAUUGCACAAUGGAGGGAACUCUGAUGCAGCGACGCCGCGUGAGCGAUGAAGGAAUUCGUUUCGUAAAGCUCUGUUCUAUGGGAAGGAAAGGACUGUACCAUAGGAGAAAGCCCCGGCUAAAUACGUG
rnacentral:rRNA from 1 species